GCGGAAGUGGAUUCAAUUGCGCGUGCCUUUAAAUCUAAAGAUUUCGCCGCCCUUAAGACGGCCGGUGUCAGUGUUAGUGGUGUUAAUUAUCAGGUUUCGAAAGUACUGAAUGGCAAUGAAGUUUUCGCUAGGAAGGCAAAAAACGGUGGCAUUGUAAUGAUGAGUACAAAGCGAGCUGUGGUUAUUGCCCAUUAUCGAGAAGGCAGUAAAAUGGAAAAUGCCGCAAAUGGAGUUGAGUUUGUAGCC